UUGGUUUUUCUCUUGGUGGUACAAGCAACGCCCCUAGGGUGCCUUUUAUACACGUCCACAAGAGAUUAUGGAAAUAGACUAGGACUAGGUAUCCUAAUACUACUAGGAUUCGGUUUGGCUUUCUUUCCUAAUCCUACGUGUAUAGGACAACGUGAUUAACUCACAAGCAUGAGCUCACCAAGCAUAUUGGUGUUGAUGCUUUCUAUGUGCGCGUUGUUGUGCAGGAUCAGGUUAUUGCUCUUCAGUAUGUGCCUUCCGAGUUACAGUUGGCGGAUUUCCUGACAAAGGCCCAGACUAGAGCACAACAUGGCUUUUAUCUCUCCAAACUCAGUGUUGUUCAUCCACCAUGAGUUCGAGGGGGGUGUUAGAGUUAUAAUAUAAGUGAUGUACCCUUUUGUAUUUAUCCCAAUAUAUAAGGGGUUUCCUGCAUAUAGUCCACGACCUGUACAUUUAUAUAUACCGGCCUAUGGCCUCAUGGGAAUACAAGUUGCUUAUUCCUAACAUCUACGUCAAGCCAGCUCCAUUGGUGACUGCACCAAUCGCAUGCCACAGAGGCAUGUACAUCGUCACCAUUCCCCUCCUACGUAGCCGAGGCCUGGGCGAUGCCAUAACGGACCAGAGGUGGGCAUCUAGCAUGUGGUGAAGGAAGUCGGCAGCGCACCAUUCCCAUAGCUUAAUAGCAGGGAUUUCAGCCUCCUCGUGAUGGUACAUGGUCUCUAGGAAACCGUCAAAUUUGGCGACACUGCCCACCAAGAGGAUUUUAUGGCGCUCAAGGCUAUCCUCCAAGUCAUGCCUCCGGAGUGUUAGACCUUUCAGCCUGAGCAUUGAUAGUUGUGGAUGACACUAGGANNNNNNNNNNUGCUUCUACCUCCGCUCUGGCUGCUGCCAGCCCCGCUACAGCCAGCCUCGACACCCUUGCUGCCGCAGCAGCGGCUGCUACAGCUGCUCGCUCACGCUCCUCUGCCACGGCGCGCUCGGCCUCCUGCCGACGUCGUAUGCUCGAGGUAGCCGUGUGCUGAGAGCGACCUGCAGACAUGGCUCACUGCAGGGGGGGUUGUUGCGUGAAGAGGAGGCUGUUUCUGACGAGCUACUGCUCGACAGUCCGGAGGGAGGGAGGUAACCAAGGGCAGUCGGAGCAGCUGCUGCUACCGGCUUAGGCUGCUCAGCUCCUGGUGAGAGAGGUGAGCAGGAAAUGCUCAGGGUACAAGAUAACGAGGCUNNNNNNNNNNCUGCUUCUACCUCCGCUCUGGCUGCUGCCAGCUCCGCUGCAGCCAGCCUCGACACCCUUGCUGCCGCAGCAGCUGCUGCUACAGUUGCUCGCUCACGCUCCUCUGCCACGGCGCGCUCGGCCUCCUGCCGGCGCCGUAUGCUCGAGGUAGCCGUGUGCUGAGAGCGACCUGCAGACAUGUCUCGCUGCAGGGGGGCUAUUGCGUGAAGAGGAGGCUGUUGCUGACGAACUACUGCUCGACAGUCCGGAGAGGGAGGUAACUAAGGGCAGUCGGAGCAGCUGCUGCUACCGGCUUAGGCUGCUCAGCUCCCGGUGAGAGAGGUGAGCAGGAAAUGCUCAGGGUACAAGAUAACGAGGCUCUGAUACCACUUGUUAGACCUUUCAGCCUGAGCAUUGAUAGUUGUGGAUGACACUAGGAGAGUUGGGACAGUUUUCGUUGGUUUAUUUCUCACACAAUGCCAUGCCAACAUGAGGGGUUGGGGAUACAUAUUUAUAGGCUGCUAGCCAACCAAGCAUAUGCUAAGAUGCUAGUCUAAGAUGUGCUAAGAUGCUAGUCUAAGAUGCUAGUCUAAGAUGUGCUAAGAUGCUAGUCUAAGAUGCUAUCCUAACUGCCAGUCCUUGAUGGUCAAGGAUUCUAUCCUAACAGCCACAAGGACCAUGUGUUGCAGCCCCACAAAGAUCCUAGUACAUAGACUUAUCCAUCACGGAGAUGGUCCACACCCUGGAUGUCAAGUGGACAACAAAGGAAGCUUGGGAGGCGAUCUGUGCGAUACACAUUGGCAUUGACCGGGUCCGCCAGUCCAUGAUGCAGAAGCUAUAUCGGGAAUCAAUGACUUCACAUUCCGUCGAUGACUUCACGUUCCACCUCUUCGGCUUCAUUAGUUCAUUAACCAUCCAUGGCGAUCCCAUCCAUGAACAUAGGGUCGUCAAGAAGUCUUUGUGUGUCGUCCCUUGGAAGUAUGUAAAUUGCGCCAUCAAUCGAUGCUAUACUUGAUACAACGAAGCUCUCAAUUGAAUAGGUGACAAGCCAACUCAAGACUGCUUAAGUGCUUAUGAUCAUUGUGAGUCAAAGUUCAAAACCCAGGUUGGAGCAGCGGAUCCAAUCCAGCAGCAAAGUCUACUUCUCCGAGUAGUAGUGGCUCAUCUAGAUGAAGCAAAGGCAGGACGGAGAGGGAGCUCCAGGCCUCCCAACAAAAGGUAGGAGGGAUAGGAAAGCUCCAAGCAUCCCAAUUCACAUUUACCAUUUGGUACUUACCACAUCGACUUACACCACAUACAUCGCCCAAAUCGGCGACCACUUCAUCCACUUUGACAACUUUAUGCGAAGCAAGGCAGGUCAUUUUGAUUUUGUCAAGGGUGCUGACUUGAGGUAUCCAUUCCAACAUAAGCUUACUCUUCCCUUGGCAUUACGUUUGUGAGCCAUCCAACCCCUUCAUGACAAAUUUGAUCCCAUCGAGACUAGCUAUUUGAGUAUUGCUUGGCCACG
rnacentral:lncRNA from 1 species